UCGGCCUGCCUCUCCGUUGCGCCCUUCCUCUCGUCCAUCUCGCCCAGCUACAACAACCGCCACAGCACCGUUCCCCGCCGCAGCUCCUUCCAUCGCAGCCCCCUGCGCGAAUAGGCGAACCGCCGCCCGCCCGCUCGCCAGCGGAUGCACGCCAGGCGCUCGGGUCAGCCAGUUCUCGGCGCGCGCUGCUCUUGGGGGUCGACCAAGCCGUUGCCGCCGUGCCGACCCCUACACCUGCAACCGCGACAUCACCCACUCGCCGCCGGAUGCACGCGAGGCGCUCAGGUUGCGUGCCUCUCCUUCCCAUCCCCACGCGACCACGCCGCCGAAUGCACUUUCCCAUCUCUUCCACACGCCAAGCCCACCCGCCGCCUCCUACCAUCUGCUCUCGAUUCCCAGCCCAACAUCCACUCCCUCUCAACGGAUCCAGUGAGGACACAUCCCAGUUGGUGUAGAAGCGUUCUACCUCGUCGGAUCCAGCGUAGAGGCGAACCCACCUCCAGGGAGAACCCCCUACCCGCGAUCCCACUGCCCUGGAGUUCGAGUGUCUGACACCGGCGGCCGUUCGGAGCUCCAAGCGUCAAAGCAAGGUUGAAGACAGCAACAACUAGAGGAGCGGUACGCUGAGCACUUGGGCUUCUAUGUUUCCAGCCAGGUCUACCAGGCCUUAUCGGCUUAGCCAUAGGGCAAGCUGCAUUUUUUGGACGGGUGCACAAACCAGUGCUCUACAGAGUUGUUGCUUCUCUGCAUCAUCGUUGUCCACCUCUCGGCGGUGUCUAGGCGGCCUUCCUGGUGGUGUGGCUCAUCCGUGCACUCAACCUAAGAAAAGUUAAUAUUGGAACAACCCUGUGUAUCCUUUAUCCAGUUACAGUCUCUUGUGCGUUAUUCUGUUAUGUACUUAUGUGUGAUACAUGUUAGCUUUCCUUGGUCUUUUUCUGAAGUGAUGUUUCGUUUAUUAUCUUCAUACCCAAUUGCUAUGAUUUAUAGAGCAUCUUUGAUGGUAAAGAAGUAGAUGACCGGCCAGUUCUUUAUGUGAAAAGGGACCAUUUGGGAUCUUGAAUUUAGGAUUGGAUGGUGGAGUAUGCUGCUAUUAUUGGAUUAAUCGGUGAGGAAGGUUAGUUAGCUUUGUAUUUUUGUAGGGUCUGGUGAUCUUGCAUGGAGAAAGGGUUAGUGAUGUCGACUGAUUUUGGGUUCUUGAAUGAAAAUGGUUUUUUAGUUGUAUUUAACGCUUUAUAAAUGAGGAUUCUUUUCUACCCACAGUGGAUUAAUCUUGGUUGUGGGCAUUUUACUUCUAUGUUUGGUUGUUCCUUAGGAAUUAGGAUGCAAAUUGUAACCUGUAAAAUUGCUGAAUAAAUCAUAAUUGAAAUAACACAUGAUCUUUGUUACCUCAAAUCAAAGCCUACUUCAUAGCCUCUUCAAUAGCUUAGUUGGAACUUUCGUUUACAAGUUUAUAUAGUUGUUGAGGUUGAUGUUCUAAAAAAAUAAAGAAUCUGCAUGCAGAUACAAUAUUGGAUUAGUAACCAUGCUUUGUGAUUCCUUAAGCACAGUGCAAGGCUACAUCAGCUCUGAAGGGGUCAAUAUCACUAAAUCGGGAAGCAAGCAUGGAUUUUCAAUUUCUACUUUGAUUAUCCAAAAUAUUCAGGCAAGCAGGUGCAAAGGAAGAACUUCAACAAAGUUAGCUAAAGUACAAGUGUUGUAGGUAAGGCCUGGUAUUAUGCCUAAUUCGCUAGGCAUGUCAUUUCCUACGCAACCAGCUCAUGGUGUACCACCUCAAAUGUAUAUUCUCUAUUUCAUCCUGUCUACUUGCACCAAUUUAAUUAUGUUCCCCAUUCUAUUCCUUAUAUACAAGUUAUUGAUUUGUAUGCAUGGAAUUGUCAUCUAAGGUACUUGGACUAUGGUCGCCAUGUGACCUGGUCAUCAA